GCCGUCUUAGCUCAGUUGGUAGAGCAACGGUUUUGUAAACCGUAGGUCUAGGGUUCGAAUCCCUAAGACGGCUCCA
rnacentral:tRNA from 1 species